rnacentral:lncRNA from 1 species
AUGGAGGAGCCCAGGAGCCUGGUGGGCUGCAGUCCGUGGAGUCUCGAAGAGUCGAACACGACUGAGCGACUUCACUUUCACUUUUCACUUUUAUGCAUUGGAGGAGGACAUGGCAACCCACUCCAGUACUCUUGCCUGGAGAAUCCUAGGGAUGGGGGAUUCACAGCUGUUUCAGUCCUCAGCGCGUUUCCUGGAGGACAUGUGAGUGACACUGGGCUACCUUCUCCACCCCCCUUCCAAUCCUGCACUGCUGAUAUGGUGGCCCAGGGGUCUGUGAACUAUCAAGCCUUUCACACGCCCAGCCUUCUGAAAGGCCAGCCCCAUUCUGGAAGGCUCAGCUGGACGAGAGGAGGAGGAAGAGGCUGGAGUUCUUGGGCUGGGAGUGACCAGUCAAGACUGCUUCUUUUCCACCUGCUCCCCUGGUCCUCACCUGCAGGUGAACAGGAGCAAUUUAAGAGAGAAGUGAAAAGGCCCAUCACUUAUUUAACCUACAGCUAAAUUAAGAGCUGGAGUUGAGGUGGUUCCUUGUGUCUGUUCAUGACAAGCUCUGCGAGGAGAAGCAUGCUAGGUUCUAGAUGGCAGAGGUCAGUGAAGCCAGGAUUAAACCAAGAAAGAGGCUGAGCUGGGGCACUUGCUGGGCUUAACCCGGGAGUCCCCACCAUGAAUGGAAUCUGGGAGUCCAACUUACAGGGCAGCAGCUGCCCCAGUUCUAGCAUCCUUGGCAUACGGGUGGACUGUGCCCUCCC